rnacentral:rRNA from 1 species
GACGAACGCUGGCGGCGUGCUUAACACAUGCAAGUCGAGCGGUAAGGCCCUUUCGGGGGUACACGAGCGGCGAACGGGUGAGUAACACGUGGGUGACCUGCCCUCAGCUCUGGGAUAAGCCUGGGAAACCGGGUCUAAUACCGGAUAUGACUCCAUGACGCAUGUUGUGGGGUGGAAAGCCUUGUGCGGCUGAGGAUGGGCCCGCGGCCUAUCAGCUUGUUGGUGGGGUGAUGGCCUACCAAGGCGACGACGGGUAGCCGGCCUGAGAGGGCGACCGGCCACACUGGGACUGGA